UACGAAGGGGGCUAGCGUUGCUCGGAAUUACUGGGCGUAAAGCGUGCGUAGGUGGUUUGUUAAGUCUGCUGUGAAAGCCCCGGGCUCAACCUGGGAAUGGCAGUGGAUACUGGCAAGCUAGAGUGCGGUAGAGGGGUGUGGAAUUCCCGGUGUAGCGGUGAAAUGCGUAGAGAUCGGGAGGAACACCAGUGGCGAAGGCGGCACCCUGGACCAGCACUGACACUGAGGCACGAAAGCGUGGGGAGCAAACAGG
rnacentral:rRNA from 1 species